GCCGCGGUAUUCUGACCGUGCAAAGGUAGCGCAAUCACUCGUCCCUUAAAUAAGGUCCUGUAUGAAUGGCUAGACGAGGGCUUAACUGUCUCCCCCUUCAGGUCAGUGAAAUUGAUCUAUCCGUGCAGAAGCGGAUAUAACCAUACAAGACGAGAAGACCCUUUGGAGCUUUAGGUACAAGACUCACUUACGUUAAAUAAUCUAGUCAAAGCAUAAAACUUAGUAAAGAUAAGACUUUACCUUCGGUUGGGGCGACCAUGGAGGAAAAAAUAGCCUCCAAGUGGAUUGGAUACAUCCCAAAAACUAAGAGAAACAUCUCUACGUCACAGAACGUCUGACCAAUUAUGAUCCGGUUAAAAACCGAUCAGCGAACCAAGUUACCCUAGGGAUAACAGCGCAAUCCUCUCCAAGAGUCCAUAUCGACGAGGGGGUU
rnacentral:rRNA from 1 species